rnacentral:rRNA from 1 species
UACGUAGGCAGCGAGCGUUGUUCGGAAUUGCUGGGCGUAAAGAGUGUGUAGGCGGUGCUCCCAGUCUGUUGUGAAAUCUCCCGGCUUAACUGGGAGGGUGCAGCGGAAACUAGAGUGCUAGAGGGUGGGAGAGGUAAGCGGAAUUCCUGGUGUAGCGGUGAAAUGCGUAGAUAUCAGGAGGAACACCUGUGGUGUAGACAGCUUACUGGACCACUUCUGACGCUGAGACACGAAAGCGUGGGUAGCAAACAGG